CGUUUCUUCCGCCCGGCCGGACCGGCCGGCACGGUGGAGGUAACACGUAUGCAACCUGCCCCUGUCAGGGGGACAACCCGCCGAAAGGCGGGCUAAACCCGCGUACAUGCCACCGGGGCAUCCCGGAGGCAGGAAAGGCUUCGGCCGGACAGGGAUGGGCAUGCGGCGCAUUAGGCAGUAGGCGGGGUAACGGCCCACCUAACCGACGAUGCGUAGGGGUUCUGAGAGGAAGGUCCCCCACACUGGUACUGAGACACGGACCAGACUCCUACGGGAGGCAGCAG
rnacentral:rRNA from 1 species